UACGUAGGGGGCAAGCGUUAUCCGGAUUUACUGGGUGUAAAGGGAGCGUAGACGGCUGUGCAAGUCUGAAGUGAAAGCCUUCGGCUUAACCGGAGUAGUGCAUUGGAAACUGGGAGACUUGAGUGCAGAAGAGGAGAGUGGAACUCCAUGUGUAGCGGUGAAAUGCGUAGAUAUAUGGAAGAACACCAGUGGCGAAAGCGGCUCUCUGGUCUGUAACUGACGCUGAGGUUCGAAAGCGUGGGUAGCAAACAGG
rnacentral:rRNA from 1 species